UACGGAAGGCAGCAGUGGGGAAUAUUGCACAAUGGGCGAAAGCCUGAUGCAGCUAUGCCGCGUGUAUGAAGAAGGCCUUAGGGUUGUAAAGUACUUUCAUCGGGGAAGGAAAAAACAAAACUAAUAAUUUUAUUUCUUGACGUUACCCGAAAAAGAAGCACCGGCUAACUCCGUGCCAGCAGCCGCGGUAAUACGGAGGGUGCUAGCGUUAAUCAGAAUUACUGGGCGUAAAGAGCACGUAGGUGGUUUUUUUAAGUCAGAUGUGAAAUCCCUGGGCUUAACCUAGGAACUGCAUUUUGAAACUGAAAUACUAGAGUACCGUAGAGGGAGGUAGAAUUCUAGGUGUAGCGGUGAAAUGCGUAGAUAUCUGGAGGAAUACCUGUGGCGAAAGCGGCCUCCUAAACCGAAUACUGACACUGAGGGUGCGAAAGCGUGGGGAGCAAACAGGGAUUAGAUACC
rnacentral:rRNA from 1 species